rnacentral:misc_RNA from 2 species
AACGCACAUUGCGCCCUUUGGUAUUCCGAAGGGCAUGUCUGUUUGAGCGUCAUUACAACUCUCGUUUAACAAAUUUUUGUUCGACGGUCAUGGGUGGUGGAGAAUCGCAGAAAUGUUGAGUCCACCGCCCUAAAACCCAAAAGAAUGCUCUGCCAGCCAGACCUCGAAAACUUUACGUAGUAGUAUUGCACAAACCGAAAAGUGAUUAAGGGAUUCUGAGCGGCCUAAAAAAUAUCACAAGUCAACCUCUCUAGGUUUGACCUCAGAUCAGACAAGGAUACCCGCUGAACUUAA